CAAACGACUCUCGGCAACGGAUAUCUCGGCUCACGCAUCGAUGAAGAACGUAGCAAAAUGCGAUACUUGGUGUGAAUUGCAGAAUCCCGUGAACCAUCGAGUUUUUGAACGCAAGUUGCGCCCGAAGCCAUCCGGCUGAGGGCACGUCUGCUUGGGCGUCACGC
rnacentral:rRNA from 1 species